rnacentral:rRNA from 1 species
GCUGACGAGUGGCGAACGGGUGAGUAAUAUAUCGGAACGUACCAUUCAGUGGGGGAUAACGUAGCGAAAGUUACGCUAACACCGCAUAUUCUGUGAGCAGGAAAGCAGGGGAUCGCAAGACCUCGCGCUAUUGGAGCGGCCGAUGUCAGAUUAGCUAGUUGGUGAGGUAAAAGCUCACCAAGGCGACGAUCUGUAGCGGGUCUGAGAGGAUGAUCCGCCACACUGGAACUGAGACACGGUCCAGACUCCUACGGGAGGCAGCAGUGGGGAAUUUUGGACAAUGGGGGCAACCCUGAUCCAGCCAUGCCGCGUGAGUGAGGAAGGCCUUCGGGUUGUAAAGCUCUUUCAGCCGGGAAGAAAACGCAUGGGUUAAUACCCUGUGUGGAUGACGGUACCGGAAUAAGAAGCACCGGCUAACUACGUGCCAGCGGCCGCGGUAAUACGUAGGGUGCGAGCGUUAAUCGGAAUUACUGGGCGUAAAGCGUGCGCAGGCGGUUUUGUAAGACAGGCGUGAAAUCCCCGGGCUUAACCUGGGAACUGCGUUUGUGACUGCAAGGCUAGAGUACGGCAGAGGGGGGUGGAAUUCCACGUGUAGCAGUGAAAUGCGUAGAGAUGUGGAGGAACACCAAUGGCGAAGGCAGCCCCCUGGGUCGAUACUGACGCUCAUGCACGAAAGCGUGUGUAGCAAACAGGAUUAGAUACCCUGUAGUCCACGCCCUAAACGAUGUCAACUAGGUGUUGGGAGGGUAAAACCUUUUAGUACCGGAGCUAACGCGUGAAGUUGACCGCCUGGGGAGUACGGCCGCAAGGUUAAAACUCAAAGGAAUUGACGGGGACCCGCACAAGCGGUGGAUGAUGUGGAUUAAUUCGAUGCAACGCGAAAAACCUUACCUACCCUUGACAUGCCAAGAACUUUCCAGAGAUGGAUUGGUGCCCGAAAGGGAACUUGGACGCAGGUGCUGCAUGGCUGUCGUCAGCUCGUGUCGUGAGAUGUUGGGUUAAGUCCCGCAACGAGCGCAACCCUUGUCGUUAAUUGCCAUCAUUUAGUUGGGCACUUUAACGAGACUGCCGGUGACAAACCGGAGGAAGGUGGGGAUGACGUCAAGUCCUCAUGGCCCUUAUGGGUAGGGCUUCACACGUCAUACAAUGGUCGGUACAAAGGGUCGCCAAGCCGCGAGGUGGAGCCAAUCCCAGAAAGCCGAUCGUAGUCCGGAUCGCAGUCUGCAACUCGACUGCGUGAAGUCGGAAUCGCUAGUAAUCGUGGAUCAGAAUGUCACGGUGAAUACGUUCCCGGGUCUUGUACACACCGCCCGUCACACCAUGGGAGCGGGUUCCGCCAGAAGUAGGUAGCCUAACCGCAAGGAGGGCGCUUACCACGGCGGGGUUCGUGACUGGGGUGAAGUCGG